rnacentral:lncRNA from 1 species
UACUUGCAGCACUAUCACCAUCAAUUCUUCCACAGGUUGCUAAUCUUGAAACCUCGGCAAAGGUUUGGAGGGCACUGUCCAAUCUAUUUUCCCUCAAGUCCACCACCCGAAUACUACAUCUCCACCAACAAUUUCUGGAAAUAAAACAGGGAAAUAUGACAAUGGAGGCCUAUAUAGCUCAUGUACGCAAGAUCUUGGACAACCUUGCGGCCGUAGGUGAAAUUCUAAAUGAAUCCCAG